UUAUCUCUUUUCUUUUUAGGACUCUCUGCCUGAAACCCAGACGGCAGUGCCCACAUUUCCUGUCUGCCACCGUGGUUUCAAAAGACAGAAAAGAGACUGGGUUAUUCCUCCCAUCAGCUGCACAGAAAAUGACAGAGGGCCAUUUCCUAAGAAUUUGGUUCAGAUCAAGUCUAGUAGAGACAAAGAGACACAGGUUUUCUACAGCAUCUCUGGCCAAGGAGCUGACGCACCCCCCAUCCAUGUGUUUAUUAUUGAAAGGGAGACAGGAUGGCUCAAGGUGACGCAGCCUCUGGAUAGAGAAGCAAUUGCCAAGUACACACUCCUCUCUCACGCUGUGUCUUCCAACGGGAAUGCAAUUGAGGAUCCGAUGGAGAUUGUGAUCACAGUGAAAGAUCAGAAUGACAACAGGCCUGAGUUCACCCAGGCGGUCUUUGAGGGGUCUGUCCUGGAAGGUGCUCUCCCAGGAACCUCCGUGAUGCAGGUCACAGCCACGGACGCGGACGACGAAGUGAACACCUACAACGCUGCCAUCGCUUACAGGAUCAUCAGCCAAGAGCCUAAACAGCCUCAUUUGCAAAUGUUCGCCAUCAACA